UGUGAUCAAACAGAAAUCCUGACGAGUGAACUGAGCAACGUCACACCCUAUUAAGAAACUUAGUCCAUCCAAGUCUUUCACACCCUGCCCCGCUACUCUACGCAACACAACCCCAUGCACAAUCUGCCCGCUAAACUGAAUCUUAUCUAUAUUCAGAAGAUGGCCAAAGCAUGAUGUCUUGAAUUAUUCUAAUUGUUCCGCACUCAACUUCGCUCGAAUUGCAGCUAGAGAUGAAUUUGC
rnacentral:lncRNA from 1 species